UACGAAGGGGGCUAGCGCUGCUCGGAAUGACUGGGCGUAAAGGGCGCGUAGGCGGUUCGUACAGUCAGACGUGAAAUUCCCGGGCUCAACCUGGGGGCUGCGUUUGAUACGUGCGGGCUUGAGUUCGGAAGAGGGUCGUGGAAUUCCCAGUGUAGAGGUGAAAUUCGUAGAUAUUGGGAAGAACACCGGUGGCGAAGGCGGCGACCUGGUCCGAUACUGACGCUGAGGCGCGAAAGCGUGGGGAGCAAACAGG
rnacentral:rRNA from 1 species